rnacentral:lncRNA from 1 species
CAGGUAAAUUUUGCAAUUAGUUUUUAUUUUUUGUCUAUGUUUAAUGCUCCAUGUAUGUGUUGCAAGAUUCGAUGUGACGAGAAAUCUUGAAAAGUUUUUGUUUUUUGGGGUGAACUAAACAAGGCCUUUCAUGACCACAAGUCAUGGUGCUGAGGGAGCAGACUAAGCAAUCAUUUCAGUUCAUGAGAAGCAUCGAUCUCCAGGUUCA